rnacentral:misc_RNA from 1 species
GCCCUUCUUCCCCGUACUAGCAUACUUUCAAUUGAGGGAGAUGCAAUAAACCACUAGAAGAAAUGCGUUAAACCACCAUUAUUUCAUGGAAUUAACAUUGAUCUCAAAGUUCUUUUUUUUUUCUUUUGCCCUAAAUAAUUCAUAUUCGUUGCAAUUUAUAACAAUUCAACAAACUCUCCUUCACAUCCCCAGUUGAGGGGCACAUCUUACCACAGCAGACAGCACUCAUCUUUUCUUUAACUAUGAACUGCGGUUAAUAAGGUGCAAUCACAUUGGACCAAUUCUAAAAAGGUUUGACUAAUGCCAGACCAAAAAAAUGUUGGAUAGGAAGAACUGAAAAAUUGUCAGUGAAAACAAAGCAAUAACACAAGGCCAAGGAAAUAAGAUAGGAACAAACCCAACAACAAAUGUUGUCCCAG